rnacentral:rRNA from 1 species
GGCCGCGGGAAUUCGAUUCAGGCCUAACACAUGCAAGUCGAACGGAAAGGCCUUGUGAAAGCACAAGGUACUCGAGUGGCGAACGGGUGAGUAACACGUGGGUGAUCUGCCCUGCACUGUGGGAUAAGCCUGGGAAACUGGGUCUAAUACCAUAUAGGACCGCAUCUUGGAUGGUGUGGUGGAAAGCUUUUGCGGUGUGGGAUGAGCCUGCGGCCUAUCAGCUUGUUGGUGGGGUAAUGGCCUACCAAGGCGGCGACGGGUAUCCGGCCUGAGAGGGUGUACGGACACAUUGGGACUGAGAUACGGCCCAGACUCCUACGGGAGGCAGCAGUGGGGAAUAUUGCACAAU